rnacentral:rRNA from 1 species
UACAGAGGGUGCAAGCGUUGUUCGGAAUUAUUGGGCGUAAAGGGCGCGUAGGCGGUGCGGUAAGUCUGUAGUGAAAUCUCUGGGCUCAACUCAGAGUCUGCUGCAGAAACUGCCGUGCUUGAGUGUGGGAGAGGUGAGUGGAAUUCCUGGUGUAGCGGUGAAAUGCGUAGAUAUCAGGAGGAACACCUGUGGCGAAAGCGGCUCACUGGACCAUAACUGACGCUGAUGCACGAAAGCUAGGGGAGCAAACAGG